rnacentral:rRNA from 1 species
AUUGAACGCUGGCGGCAGGCCUAACACAUGCAAGUCGAGCGAGCGGCGGACGGGUGAGUAAUGUCUGGGAAACUGCCUGAUGGCGGGGGUUAACUACUGGAAACGGUCGCUAAUACCGCAUACCAUCAGAUGUGCCCAGAUGGGAUUAGCUAGCAGGUGGGGUAAUGGCUCACCUAGGCGACGAUCCCUAGCUGGUCUGAGAGGAUGACCAGCCACACUGAAACUGAGACACGGUCCAGACUCCAACGGGAGGCAGCAGGGGGGAAUAGUGCACAAAGGGCGCAAGCCGGAUGCAGCCAUGCCGCGUGAGUGAAGAAGGCCUUCGGGUUGUAAAGCACUGUCAGCGAGGAGGCGUUCUCGCAGGGAAGCACCGGAUAACUCCGUGCCAGCAGCCGCGGUAAUUC